GCCCCCAUCGUCUAGAGGCCCAGGACACCGCCCUUUCAAGGCGGCGGCACGGGUUCGAAUCCCGUUGGGGGCA
rnacentral:tRNA from 9 species